rnacentral:rRNA from 1 species
UACGUAGGGAGCAAGCGUUGUUCGGAUUUACUGGGCGUAAAGAGCUCGUAGGCGGUCUGUCGCGUCGGCUGUGAAAGCCCGGGGCUCAACCCCGGGCCUGCAGUCGAUACGGGCAGACUAGAGUGUGGUAGGGGAGACUGGAAUUCCUGGUGUAGCGGUGAAAUGCGCAGAUAUCAGGAGGAACACCGGUGGCGAAGGCGGGUCUCUGGGCCAUAACUGACGCUGAGGAGCGAAAGCGUGGGGAGCGAACAGG